GAUCAAGUGUCAAAAGGGCAUUUGGUGGAUGCCUUGGCAUGCACAGGCGAUGAAGGACGUGAUACGCUGCGAUAAGUCAUGGGGAGCUGCGAAUAAGCUUUGAUCCGUGAAUUUCCGAAUGGGGCAACCCACCUUCGAUCCCUGUUAAGUCGAAACUGCUGAGCUGGCCGAGCCGACCGUUGUGCGUGUUGUCCGAAAGGGCGCGCGGCAGCCGUAGGCCGACCGGCCGUCGGGCCUUAUGGCCCGCCCUCGCGGAGCCGAUUGCUGCAAGCAAUCCGGCGUGAGCGCUUUCGAUUAACAGGGGUCAGUGAAGGUAUCUAACCUUGAAUACAUAGGGGUUAGAAGCGAACUCGGGGAACUGAAACAUCUCAGUACCCGAAGGAAAGGACAUCAACCGAGACUCCGUCAGUAGCGGCGAGCGAACGCGGACCAGGCCAGUGGCCUCAUAUGAGAGAAGCCGAACACGUUGGAAAGCGUGGCGAGAUUGGGUGAUAGCCCCGUAGGCGCAAGGCUCUUUGAGGUCCUCGAGUAGGGCGGGACACGUGAAAUCCUGUCUGAACAUGGGGCGACCACGCUCCAAGCCUAAGUACUCGUGCAUGACCGAUAGCGAACCAGUACCGUGAGGGAAAGGUGAAAAGCACCCCGACAAGGGGAGUGAAAGAGAACCUGAAACCGAAUGCCUACAAACAGUGGAAGCCCGCAAGGGUGACCGCGUACCUUUUGUAUAAUGGGUCAGCGACUUAGUCUGGCGAGCGAGCUUAAGCCGAUAGGUGUAGGCGCAGCGAAAGCGAGUCUGAACAGGGCGUUCAGUUCGUCGGAUUAGACCCGAAACCGAGUGAUCUAGCCAUGAGCAGGCUGAAGGUGCGGUAACACGCACUGAAGGGCCGAACCCUCAUCUGUUGCAAUAGAUUGGGAUGACUUGUGGCUAGGGGUGAAAGGCCAAUCAAACUCGGAAAUAGCUGGUUCUCCGCGAAAUCUAUUUAGGUAGAGCGUCGGACUUAUUCUCCAGGGGGUAGAGCACUGGAUGGGCUAUGGGGACUCACCGUCUUACUGAUCCUAACCAAACUCCGAAUACCUGGAAGAACUAUCCGGCAGACACACGGCGGGUGCUAACGUCCGUCGUGAAGAGGGCAACAACCCUGACCACCAGCUAAGGUCCCCAAGUUAUGGCUAAGUGGGAAAGGAUGUGAAGUUUCCAAAACAACCAGGAUGUUGGCUUAGAAGCAGCCAUCAUUUAAAGAAAGCGUAACAGCUCACUGGUCUAAGUAAGAGACUUUGCGCCGAAAAUGUACCGGGGCUCAAGCCAUACACCGAAGCUGUGGAUUCAUCUUUCGAGAUGAGUGGUAGCGGAGCGUUCCGUAGGCCUGUGAAGGAGGACCCGUGAGGGCCUCUGGAGG
rnacentral:ncRNA from 1 species